rnacentral:tRNA from 1 species
GGCAGGGUGGCUGAAAAAGUGAAACAUUGUAAGUGUUUAGAUGGAUAAAUUCCCCCUGCCC